rnacentral:rRNA from 1 species
GACAGAGGUGCCGAGCGUUAGGCGGAAUCACUGGGCUUAAAGCGUGUGUAGGCGGGUCGUUAAGUGCCUUGUGAAAUCCCACCGCUCACCGGUGGAACUGCUUGGCAUACUGGCGAUCUUGAGCCACUUAGGGGCAACCGGAACAAACGGUGGAGCGGUGAAAUGCGUAGAUAUCUGGAGGAACACCGGUGGCGAAGGCGGCUCUCUGGGCCUGUCCUGACGCUCAGGCGCGAAAGCUAGGGGAGCAAACAGG